UACGGGGGGGGGCAAGCGUUGUUCGGAAUUACUGGGCGUAAAGGGCUCGUAGGCGGCCAACUAAGUCAGACGUGAAAUCCCUCGGCUUAACCGGGGAACUGCGUCUGAUACUGGAUGGCUCGAGAUUGGGAGAGGGAUGCGGAAUUCCAGGUGUAGCGGUGAAAUGCGUAGAUAUCUGGAGGAACACCGGUGGCGAAGGCGGCCAACUGGGCUGCAACUGACGCUGAGGCGCGAAAGCGUGGGGAGCAAACAGG
rnacentral:rRNA from 1 species